GACAGAGGUGCCGAGCGUUAGGCGGAAUCACUGGGCGUAAAGCGCACGUAGGCGGAUUGUUAAGUCAGGGGUGAAAUCCCAGAGCUCAACUCUGGAACUGCCUUUGAUACUGGCGAUCUUGAGUCCGGAAGAGGUGAGUGGAACUCCGAGUGUAGAGGUGAAAUUCGUAGAUAUUCGGAAGAACACCAGUGGCGAAGGCGGCUCACUGGUCCGGUACUGACGCUGAGGUGCGAAAGCGUGGGGAGCAAACAGG
rnacentral:rRNA from 1 species